GCCUUGCCAGCCCGCUCAGAAACUUAAAGGAAAGUUGACGGGGGCCCGGCACAAGCGGUGGAGUAUGUGGUUUAAUUCGAUGCAACGCGAAGAACCUUACCUGGUCUUGACAUCCCGGAGACCCUUAGGAAACUAGGGGGUGCUUCCAUCUGGAAGAAUCUGGAGACAGGUGCUGCAUGGCUGUCGUCAGCUCGUGUCGUGAGAUGUUGGGUUAAGUCCCGCAACGAGCGCAACCCUUGCCUUUAGUUGCCAGCAGUUCGGCUGGGCACUCUAAAGGGACUGCCGGUGUUAAACCGGAGGAAGGUGGGGAUGACGUCAAGUCCUCAUGGCCUUUAUGACCAGGGCUACACACGUACUACAAUGGCCGAUACAAAGGGCAGCGACACUGCGAGGUGAAGCCAAUCCCGUAAAAUCGGUCUCAGUCCGGAUUGGAGUCUGCAACUCGACUCCAUGAAGUUGGAAUCGCUAGUAAUCGUGGAUCAGCAUGCCACGGUGAAUACGUUCCCGGGCCUU
rnacentral:rRNA from 1 species